rnacentral:rRNA from 1 species
GCGGCGGACGGGUGAGUAACACGUGGGUAACCUGCCUGUAAGACUGGGAUAACUCCGGGAAACCGGGGCUAAUACCGGAUGCUUGAUUGAACCGCAUGGUUCAAUUAUAAAAGGUGGCUUUUAGCUACCACUUACAGAUGGACCCGCGGCGCAUUAGCUAGUUGGCGAGGUAACGGGUCACCAAGGCAACUAUGCGUAACCAACCUGAGAGGGGGAUCGGCCACACUGGGACUGAAACACGACUGAAACACGGCCCAAACUCCUACGGGAGGCAGCAGUGGGGAAUCUUCCGCAAUGGACGAAAGUCUGACGGAGCAACGCCGCGUGAGUGAUGACGGCCUUCGGGUUGUAAAGCUCUGUUGUUGGAGAAGAAUAAGUGCUUUGCGAAUAGUGAGAAGGAUUGACGGUACCGGAAUAGAAAGCCACGGCUAACUACGUGCCAGCAGCCGCGGUAAUACGUAGGUGGCAAGCGUUGUCCGGAAUUAUUGGGCGUAAAGCGCGCGCAGGCGGUUUUUUAAGUCUGAUGUGAAAGCCCUCGGCUUAACCGAGGAAGUGCAUCGGAAACUGGGAAACUUGAGUGCAGAAAAGGACAGUGGAACUCCAUGUGUAGCGGUGAAAUGCGUAGAUAUAUGGAAGAACACCAGUGGCGAAGGCGACUUUCUGGACUGUAACUGACGCUGAGGCUCGAAAGCGUGGGGAGCGAACAGGAUUAGAUACCCUGGUAGUCCAUGCCGUAAACGAUGAAUGCUAGGUGUUGGAGGGUUUCCGCCCUUCAGUGCCGCAGGUCCAUGCCGUAAACGAUGAAUGCUAGGUGUUGGAGGGUUUCCGCCCUUCAGUGCCGCAGCUAACGCAUUAAGCAUUCCGCCUGGGGAGUACGACCGCAAGGUUGAAACUCAAAGGAAUUGACGGGGGCCCGCACAAGUAGCGGAGCAUGUGGUUUAAUUCGAAGCAACGCGAAGAACCUUACCAGGUCUUGACAUCCUUUGACCACUCUAGAGAUAGAGCUUCCCCUUCGGGGGCAAAGUGACAGGUGGUGCAUGGUUGUCGUCAGCUCGUGCUGGGAGAUGUUGGGUUAAGUCCCGCAACGAGCGCAACCCUUGAUCUUAGUUGCCAGCAUUCAGUUGGGCACUCUAAGGUGACUGCCGGUGACAAACCGGAGGAAGGUGGGGAUGACGUCAAAUCAUCAUGCCCCUUAUGACCUGGGCUACACACGUGCUACAAUGGGCAGAACAAAGGGCAGCGAAGCCGCGAGGCUAAGCCAAUCCCACAAAUCUGUUCUCAGUUCGGAUCGCAGUCUGCAACUCGACUGCGUGAAGCUGGAAUCGCUAGUAAUCGCGGAUCAGCAUGCCGCGGUGAAUACGUUCCCGGGCCUUGUACACACCGCCCGUCACACCACGAGAGUUUGUAACACCCGAAGUCGGUGAGGUAACCUUUUGGAGCUAGCCGCCGAAGGUGGGACAGAUGAUUGGGGUGAAGUCGU